rnacentral:rRNA from 1 species
GAUGAACGCUGGCGGCAUGCCUUACACAUGCAAGUCGAACGGCAGCGGGGGAGAAGCUUGCUUUUCCUGCCGGCGAGUGGCGAACGGGUGAGUAAUACAUCGGAACGUGCCCUGUAGUGGGGGAUAACUAGUCGAAAGAUUAGCUAAUACCGCAUACGACCUGAGGGUGAAAGUGGGGGACCGCAAGGCCUCAUGCUAUAGGAGCGGCCGAUGUCUGAUUGGCUAGGUGGUGGGGUAAAGGCCUACCAAGGCGACGAGCAGUAGCUGGGCUGAGAGGACGAUCAGCCACACUGGGACUGAGACACGGCCCAGACUCCUACGGGAGGCAGCAGUGGGGAAUUUUGGACAAUGGGCGAAAGCCUGAUCCAGCAAUGCCGCGUGUGUGAAGAAGGCCUUCGGGUUGUAAAGCACUUUUGUCCGGAAAGAAAUGGCUCUGGUUAAUACCUGGGGUCGAUGACGGUACCGGAAGAAUAAGGACCGGCUAACUACGUGCCAGCCGCCGCGGUAA